rnacentral:misc_RNA from 1 species
AACGCAUCUUGCGCUCUUUGGUAUUCCGAAGAGCAUGCCUGUUUGAGUGUCAUGAAACUCUCACCUCCAGCCUUCUUUAAUUAGAGGUGUUGGGGCGUGGACGUGAGUGCUGCUGGUGCCCUGGUUGCAUCGGCUCACUUGAAAUACAUUAGCUGAAUCCUCUAGAGGUGGUUCUACUCGACGUGAUAAGAUCUCCGUCGAGGACAGUGCAACUUGUUGUGCUGGCCGCCGCUAGCAGUUGAUACGCUUCUAAUUAGCGCAGACUUCGAGUGCUGGCAACUUUUGACAACUUGGCCUCAAAUCAGGUAGGACUACCCACUGAACUUAA